UACGUAGGGUGCGAGCGUUAAUCGGAAUUACUGGGCGUAAAGAGCACGUAGGCGGGUCUGUAAGUCGAUUGUGAAAGCCCCGAGCUUAAUGCGGGAAUUGCAGUCGAAACUACAGAUCUUGAAUACCCAAGAGGGUGAGGGAAUUCCUGGUGUAGAAGUGAAAUUCGUAGAUAUCAGGAGGAACACCGGUAGGCGAAGGCGGCGUUACC
rnacentral:rRNA from 1 species